CAAACAAAUCCAUCGCCUCUCUCUCUCUCUCUCCCUCUCUCUCUCUCUUCAGCAUCCCUCUUCUUCUCCCUCUCUGCUGCUCCUCUCCCCUCCAUCUCUCACCGUCGCUCCUCCUCGCGUUCAUCGGCAACCGGAGCAUCGAUUCACCUCCUUGUUGGUCACCGUCGCCUGAGAUCCAUCACCCAUGGAAGCUCGAUCGGCGGUUCCCAGCUACCUCUUUUUCUCCCAGCUACCACUCAUUACCUUAGCCCUCAAAAUUGCAGAUGAUGAAGAUGGGUUUGUUGGGUACUGGCCUCGCUGGGUUAGCGGGUCUACAUCUACGGCAUUGGGACAUCAACAAUCUUCUGUCUGGAUGUACAGAACAAUGCAUCUUUCUUCUUAUCGUGCUCCAGUGCCGUCACUACGUUUAAAGGAGAUGAUGCUGACUGUGGUAACCAAGAAGCUGAAACAAGGACCUGCCCUCAGAAAUUUAGAAAGCUACUUUUAUUUUCUGAGCAACAAUUACUUGGGCUUGAGUUCACAUCCUACAGUUUCAAAUGGGUUUAAUCAUUAAUGGCAGCCCUAGCACGUGGAAUAGGCCCAAGGGGUUCUGUUUUAAUCUGUGGGUAUACAAGUUACCAUGGACUGCUUGAGUCAUGCUUGGUAGACUUGAAGAAGAAAGAGGUAUUGACUUUGUUCUAUGUAUUGCAAUCAAUUGUUCAUUGGGAGUCAGGAUCGUUUGUACAUUUUAUCAAUUUAUUUUUACAUUUACUUACUGAAAAGAUUAAUUUAUUUUUCUCCGUUGUGUUAACACUUGCUGGUAUGGAAUAAUGAAACAUUACAAUAGAGGGACUGUAAUGUGUAAACAUGAACAAAUGUAUGAUGGAAACAUGAUCAGUAUGUUGGAUCAAUAGCAGCAUAUCAUGUAUAAAUUGCAUCUUCUGAAUUCACAUGUACAAUAUAUUCUUCAAUAUAGUUUGAUGUUUUGGGCUGUUGAUGUUUUCUGAAUUUGUAUUCUAGAGCAUGGUCCCAUUAUUUCGUUCAGAAGAUAUGGUAAAUCUUUGACUUCUAGGGUUAGGGAACUAGAAAGUUUUACUCUGGGAUUACAAUUCAGGAAAAAGGAAAUUUAAGUCUGAUUCAGAAAAUUUGUGUAAUUUAUAUUUAAUUAUUGGUAACAUUUGUUUGCUUUAGUUUGUGGCAAAACGGGUUGUCUCAAUUUUACUAUUGUGAAAGGUCACUGAUGCUCAUAAUAUUCUCAUCAAGAUGUAUGCUUAUAUUACAGCCUUAUGCAUGAUAUAAUUAAUAAAGUGAUAAGGUGCAGAGAUCCUUUCUAAUUAUAAAUGUCCUAUAGGCUGCAUUUUCCAUUGGAAGAUUGACUUACAAAUAAAAAUAAGACACUACAUAUUAUUUUUCUUUAAUUCUGGUUUUAAGAUUUCUACACCUAUUUUAUCAUGUAUCUUUGACAAUAUAACUGCUUCUUGUAGCUAUGUUUUUAGAACUUAAUUAAUAUUGUUGUUGAGUUUUUCCUAGAAAAAGAAAAAUGAAAGCAUUUCUAGUGGGUUUGUUUAAUGUUUGGCUGGAAUUGAGGGGAUAGAAUGAGUUCUGGGUUGUGAUAUUUGUUUAAUGUUUGUUAAUGUUUAAUGUUUGGCUGUUUAAUCCAUGUCAUUUCACUUAUAAGUUGUUUUCUGUUCAAUUGAAAUCCUAUAUUUGAGGGAACCUCCUGAUUGCAUAAAUUUAGAUGCUAUAUUAUUCCUUUUGGCAUGAAAGAGGACUGCUUGAUAUAAGUAACAGUCUUGCUUGUGAAGUCCCAUAAGGAUGAUUUUUGGCAUGGAAUUGUAGAUAUUCCUUUUUUCUCUAUGGAGGACGUGGUUUUUGUACUACUUUUUAUUUUGUAUGAAAUUAUUAUUUUCAGUUGGAAUAUACUUGGUUUGUAAAAAAUUUGCCAUUAAAAGUUAUUCUCUUUUUUGGAUGGUUGUAAGUGAAAUACGUGUUGUGGAAUGGGUGAUAAUAUGCAUGUAUUGUUUUGUUUGUAUA